ensembl:rRNA 5S_rRNA 5S ribosomal RNA
GCUUACGACCACACCGGCCUGAGUACGCCUGAUCUCGUCUGAUCUCGGAAGCUAAGCAGGGUCGGGCCUGGUUAGUACUUGGAUGGGAGACUUCCUGGGAAUACCAGGUGCUAUAAGCU